rnacentral:rRNA from 1 species
ACGGAGCGCCGGACACGGACUAUUUCGGUAGGUAGCGUGCGGAGGCUUAGUGGCGGACGGGUGAGUAACGCGUGGAUAACCUGCCGCAUACCGGGGGAUAACAGCUGGAAACAGCUGCUAAUACCGCAUAUGCCCGCAGUGCCGCAUGGCACAGCGGGGAAAACUCCGGUGGUAUGCGAUGGGUCCGCGUCUGAUUAGGCAGUUGGCGGGGUAACGGCCCACCAAACCGACGAUCAGUAGCCGGCCUGAGAGGGUGGACGGCCACACUGGGACUGAGACACGGCCCAGACUCCUGCGGGAGGCAGCAGUGGGGAAUAUUGCACAAUGGGGGAAACCCUGAUGCAGCGACGCCGCGUGAAGGAAGAAGUAUCUCCGCCCCCAAACUUCUAUCAGCAGGGAAGAAAACAGAAAAAACCUCCCUAAGAAGCCCCGGCGGGGGACGAACCAGCAGCCGCGGUAAUACGUAGGGGGCAAGCGUUAUCCGGAUUUACUGGGUGUAAAGGGGGCGCAGACGGCCAUGGCAAGCCCGGUGUGAAAGGCAGGGGCAUAACCCCGGGACUGCACUGGGAACUGUCAGGCUGGAGUGCCGGAGGGGUAAGCGGAAUUCCUGGUGUAGCGGUGAAAUGC